rnacentral:rRNA from 1 species
CCCUUAGAUGUCCGGGGCUGCACGCGCGCUACACUGAAUGAAUCAGCGUGCUAGAAAACCUUGUUUGACAUGGCUAGGUAACCCAUUGAAAAUCAUUCGUGAUUGGGAUCGGGACUUGCAAAUGUGUCCCUUGAACGAGGAAUUCCCAGUAAGUGCGGGUCAUCAGCUCGCGUUGAUUACGUCCCUGCCCUUUGUACACACCGCCCGUCGCUGCCCGGAACUGAGCCGUUUCGAGAAGACUGAGGAUUGGUGACUUGAGGCCUUCACGGGCUUCUAGUCGGUGAAAAUCAAUUUAAUCGCAGCGGCUUGAACCGGGCAAAAGUCGUAACA